UUUUAUUAUUAUAAUUUUUUAUUGCUCAUGCGUCUUGUUAAGAAACAUUCAAAUUUGUAAGUAUGUGAUUAACACACCUUAUACAACAUGCAUUCCUAUGCUGACCUACUGUCUGGCAUAUCACAGUGUUUAACAAAUAGACAUGUGUUGGAAUCCUCCAUGUUAGCCUGCAGUUUCCUGUUUCUAAUUCUCCCUAGGGGGAUCAGCAAAACAACCCAAAUCAUUCUCUCAGUAGCACCAUUCUAAAUUAGGCUGAAAAAUGAACACCCUCCAACUGGGAGAUAAUGACUUUAUAAAGGUACAGAGGAAGAGGGGAGGAGGAAGAAGGAUGACCUAGGGGAGAUGGGGCCAUGUCAUUGGGGUGACACUAGAGAAGGAAGCCCAAUGUGGGUUUGGGAGAUGGUUUAUCAUUGUGAUUUUUUUUUUUUUUUUUUUUUUUUUUUUUUUUUUUUGCAGCUAUCAGAAGGUAGAGAGGCGAGAGAAAGGCAAAACGGGAAAAGAGAAUAAAUGGGAAGAAAAAUGAAAACAAAGAAACCAAGAUUGGGAACAGAAAGGCGUUACCAGCUCUCAGCAUCAAAGACAAGAUUUACAUUUUGGCCAUUCAUUAAUAUUGUCAUCAUGUACUAUAUGUGCAUUGGAGUAUAGUUAGAUAUUUCUAAGGAAAGAGAGAAAAUAAUUUUUUACAAGUUUGAGACAGCAUCAGUUCAUUUAAGGUUUCCAGUGGUAAAUCUUUUGGUUUUUGUUUCCAUGAGUUCAGCAAACCAUGUAAAUAAGAUCAGAGUUUUAAAUUUUCUAAUAGUCUGGGUGCUUUGACUAGCAAUCCUAUAAUCCUAGUUCAUGUACUUCUCAGAACAGUCUGCUGCAAACUUAACCCCAAGAACAGAAUGUUGUCGAGCUGCAAAAAGGGUGUCAUCAUUGCUUAGGUUCUGAUGUUAGAGUUCACAAAUGAUGUCCUUUAAAUAUACCCCCCAGUGACUCAAACACAUCCUCGUUUUUAUGAAGGACUGUUGACUUUCUGCUCACAGCAAAAU
rnacentral:lncRNA from 1 species